AUUGAACGCUGGCGGCAUGCCUUACACAUGCAAGUCGAACGGUAACAGGUCUUCGGACGCUGACGAGUGGCGAACGGGUGAGUAAUACAUCGGAACGUGCCCGAGAGUGGGGGAUAACGAAGCGAAAGCUUUGCUAAUACCGCAUACGAUCUCAGGAUGAAAGCAGGGGACCGCAAGGCCUUGCGCUCACGGAGCGGCCGAUGGCAGAUUAGGUAGUUGGUGGGAUAAAAGCUUACCAAGCCGACGAUCUGUAGCUGGUCUGAGAGGACGACCAGCCACACUGGGACUGAGACACGGCCCAGACUCCUACGGGAGGCAGCAGUGGGGAAUUUUGGACAAUGGGCGCAAGCCUGAUCCAGCCAUGCCGCAUGCAGGAUGAAGGCCUUCGGGUUGUAAACUGCUUUUGUACGGAACGAAAAGACUCUGGUUAAUACCUGGGGUCCAUGACGGUACCGUAAGAAUAAGCACCGGCUAACUACGUGCCAGCCGCCGCGGUAA
rnacentral:rRNA from 1 species